UACGUAGGGGGCAAGCGUUGUCCGGAAUUAUUGGGCGUAAAGCGCGCGUAGGCGGUUUCUUAAGUCUGAUGUGAAAUCUUGCGGCUCAACCGCAAGCGGUCAUUGGAAACUGGGGAACUUGAGUACAGAAGAGGAGAGCGGAAUUCCACGUGUAGCGGUGAAAUGCGUAGAGAUGUGGAGGAACACCAGUGGCGAAGGCGGCUCUCUGGUCUGUAACUGACGCUGAGGUGCGAAAGCGUGGGGAGCGAACAGGAUUAGAAACCCCCGUAGUCC
rnacentral:rRNA from 1 species